rnacentral:rRNA from 1 species
AGACUCUGUGCGCGUGCAUAUCAAUAAGCGGAGGAAAAGAAACUAACAAGGAUUCCCUAGUAACGGCGAGUGAAGCGGGAAGAGCCUCAAAUUUGAAAUCUUCAAGGUUUCCCUUGACGAAUUGUAGUUUAUAGAAGUGUUUUCUGUUAGUAGAGUGGCAAAAGUUCUUUGGAAUAGGACAUCAUAGAGGGUGAGAAUCCCGUAUUUGGUCAUUCUUUCUAGCUUUGUGAUACACUUUCAACGAGUCGGAUUGUUUGGGAAUGCAGUCCAAAAUGGGUGGUAAAUUUCAUCUAAAGCUAAAUAUUGGCGAGAGACCGAUAGCGAACAAGUACCGUGAGGGAAAGAUGAGAAGAACUUUGAAAAGAGAGUUAAACAGUACGUGAAAUUGUCAAAAGGGAAGCGUUUGACACCAGUGUUGUUUUUCCGAAAAUCAAUUACGAAUGUUUUGUUUUUAAGAAGUUAUGACUUCAUCGGCUUGCUUCUUUCUUUACGAAACUUUCUUAAUGCACUUUUCGGUUAACAAGUCAACAUCAAUUUCUUUUGUUGUAAAAGGGUAUGAGGAAGGUGGCUUUCUUUUCGGAGAAAGUGUUUAUAGCCUUGUACCUCUGCAAUCGGAGAGAUUGAGGUCUGCAGCGUAGAUCCUUCGGGGUUAGAUACAUUUGUGCUAAGUUAUAGCUUUUCAUAGACAACUUGUUGACUAUGUUAAGUCUUGUAGCUUACUCGCUUAUGCUAUUUUACCUACGCUUAGGAUGUUGACGAUCAGCUGAGCGCG